GAACCAAAUCUAGCCCUAACACAUACACAACUUAACUACAACGCACUCACUAAAACAAAACAUUUGACAAAAGAAAGUAUUGGAGAAAGAAAUCUACCUUAGGAGCUAUAGAGAAAGUACCGCAAGGGAAAGAUGAAAGAUCAAUUCAAAGUAAAAACAAGCAAAGAUUAAACCUUGUACCUUUUGCAUAAUGAGUUAACUAGAAAACACCUAACUAAGAGAUCUUUAGCUAGGCACCCCGAAACCAAACGAGCUACCUAAGAGCAGUACAAAGAACUAACCCGUCUAUGUAGCAAAAUAGUGGGACGACUGUUAGGUAGAGGUGAAAAGCCUACCGAGCUUGGUGAUAGCUGGUUACCCAACAAAGAAUUUCAGUUCAACUUUAAGAAUUACCAUAAGAAACAGAAAUCAAAAAUGUAAUCUUAAAACUUAGCCUAAAGAGGGACAGCUCUUCAGGAAUGGAAACAACCUUCAAUAGUGAAUAAACCCUAAUACCCCAAGACCAUAGUUGGCCUAAAGGCAGCCAUCAAUAAAGAAAGCGUUAAAGCUCAACACUAAAUAAACCUAAAUUCCAUAAACCAGAAUGAAUUCCUAUUAACACAAUUGGGUUAAUCUAUUACUAUAUAGAUGAAAUACUGUUAACAUGAGUAACAAGAACAUCGUUCUCCUAGCACAAGCCUAUAGCAACCCGGAUAACCAUUGCUAGUUAACAGCUUCAGGUGAACAUAUACUAAUUAAGCCCACCAACAAUCAAACUGUUAACCCAACACAGGUGUGCUACAAGGAAAGAUUAAAAGGAGUAAAAGGAACUCGGCAAACAAGAAUCCCGCCUGUUUACCAAAAACAUCACCUCUAGCAUAACUAGUAUUAGAGGCACUGCCUGCCCAGUGACUAACGUUAAACGGCCGCGGUAUCCUGACCGUGCAAAGGUAGCAUAAUCACUUGUUCCUUAAUUGGGGACUGGAAUGAAUGGCCACACGAGGAUUCAACUGUCUCUUACUCCCAAUCAGUGAAAUUGACCUUCCCGUGAAGAGGCGGGGAUAAAAAAAUAAGACGAGAAGACCCUAUGGAGCUUUAAUUUACUGGCUUACGCCUUCUAACUAACCAACCUAAUGGGCCAAAUCAUAAAGCUCUAAGUCAGUAAUUUCGGUUGGGGUGACCUCGGAGCAUAAAAUAACCUCCGAAAGAUUUUAUAACUAAGACAAACAAGUCAAAGUAACUAUAAUCUAAUUGACCCAAUCUUCCUUUGAUCAACGGACCAAGUUACCCUAGGGAUAACAGCGCAAUCCUAUUCAAGAGUUCAUAUCGACAAUUAGGGUUUACGACCUCGAUGUUGGAUCAGGACAUCCCAAUGGUGCAGCAGCUAUUAAUGGUUCGUUUGUUCAACGAUUAAAGUCCUACGUGAUCUGAGUUCAGACCGGAGCAAUCCAGGUCGGUUUCUAUCUAUUAACUAUUUCUCCCAGUACGAAAGGACAAGAGAAAUGAGGCCUCCUUUAACAAAGCGCCUCAGAGCUAAUAUAUGAAUUUAUCUCAAUUUAAUAAGCCUGUAAAAUCAAUACCCUAGACAAGGGUUU
rnacentral:rRNA from 1 species